rnacentral:rRNA from 1 species
UGAAAGAAGGUUUUCGAUUCGUAAACUUUGUUGUUAGAGAAGAACAGUGCUAGAGUACUGUAGCGCCUUGACCGUAUUCUACCCAGAUACGCACGACUACUACGUGUCAGCAGCGCGCUAAUACGUAGUGUCAGCGUAGUCUGUAUUUAUUGGUGUAAAGCGAGCGCAGGCGGUUCUUAAGUCUGAUGUGAAGUCCCCUGGCUCAACCGGGAAGGGUCGUUGGAAACUGGGGAACUUGAGUGCAGAAGAGGAGAGUGGAAUUCCCAUGUGUAGCGCGAAAUGCGUAGAUAUAUGGAGGAACACCAGUGGUGAAGGCGACUCUAUGGUCUGUAACUGACGCUGAGGCUCGAUAGCGUGGGUAGCAAACAGGAUUAGAUACCCUGGUAGUCCACGCCGUAAACGAUGAGUAAUAAGUGUUGGAGGGUUUCCUACACUUCAGUGUUGCAGUUCCCGCAUUAAGCACUCCGCAUGCAGAGUACGACCGCAAGGUCAAAACUCAAAUGAAUUGACGGGGUACCGCACAAGCGGCGGAGCAUUUGUUUUAAUUCGCAGCAACUCGAAGAACCUUUCCAAGUCUAGACAUCCUUUGACCACUCUAGAGAUAGAUAUUUCCCUUUGUGGUCAAAGUGACAGUCGGUGCUUGGUCGUUGUCACAGAAGGUUGUGAGAUGAAGGCCUUAGUCCCGCAACGAGCGCAACCCAUCAGGCUAGUUGCCAGCAUUCAGUUGGGAACACUAGUGAGUCUGCCGGGACAAACCGGAGGAAGGUGGGGAUGACGUCAAAUCAUCAUGCUCAUUAUGACUUGGUGAUCACACGUGUUACAAUGGAUGGUACAACGAGCAGCGAAAUCAGGAGGGUAAGCGAAUUUCUUAAAUCCAUUUUCAGUUCGGAUUGUAGUCUGCAACUCGACUACAUGAAGCUGGAAUCAAUUGUAUUUGGGAAUUAGAAUGUUCCGGGGCAUGUGUUCCCGGGUUUUGUCCACCGUGCCCGUCUCUCCAUGUGAGUUGGUAACAGCAGAAGACGGUGGCCUAACCUUUUAGGAGGGACCCGGUCAGGCUGGGACAGAUGAUGGGGCGAAGUCCUGGCAAAAUAACC